rnacentral:rRNA from 1 species
UACGGGGGGGGCAAGCGUUGUUCGGAAUUACUGGGCGUAAAGGGCUCGUAGGCGGCCAACUAAGUCGGACGUGAAAUCCCCAGGCUCAACCUGGGAACUGCGUCCGAUACUGGAUGGCUUGAAUUCGGGAGAGGGAUGCAGAAUUCCAGGUGUAGCGGUGAAAUGCGUAGAUAUUGGGAGGAACACCGGUGGCGAAGGCGGCUAUCUGGACCGGUACUGACGCUGAGACGCGAAAGCCAGGGGAGCAAACGGG